rnacentral:misc_RNA from 1 species
AAAUCCAUCUUGGGGGGUCAUGAACUGCGAAUCUGCAGUGAGGACUGGCUCCCUGGCUGCCUAUACCCUUUGUCUAUGUGUACCAUAUGUUGCUUCCUCGGCGGGGACGCUCGCCGGCUGGAAGCCAAACCAAACCCUUUUUUUGCAGUAGAAAUUACUUCUGAUAAAUCAUAAAAACUAUUUA